rnacentral:rRNA from 1 species
AGGACGAACGCUGGCGGCGUGCUUAACACAUGCAAGUCACGGGGGCCCGUAGCAAUACGGGCAACCGGCGAACGGGUGCGUAACACGUGAGCAAUCUGCCGAUCUCUGGGGGAUAGCCAGCCUAACGGCUGGGUAAUACCGCAUACGCUCGUUGGGGGGAGUCCCCUGAUGAGGAAACCUCUGGGGGAGAUCGAGGAGCUCGCGACCUAUCAGCUAGUUGGCGGGGUAACGGCCCACCAAGGCAGCGACGGGUAGCUGGUCUGAGAGGAUGGCCAGCCACAUUGGGACUGCGACACGGCCCCAGACUCCUACGGGAGGCAGCAGUGGGGAAUAUUGCGCAAUGGACGAAAGUCUGACGCAGCGACGCCGCGUGUGGAUGAAGCCUUUCGGGGUGUAACCACUGUUGCCCGGGACGAACUCCUCUUUCGAGAGGAUUGACGGUACCGGGUGAGGAGCACCGGCUAACUCUGCGCCAGCAGCCGCGGU